CACCAGGCCGAGUGUGUAUUCAUCGCACAUAUUCUUUGACCCCAGAGAGCAUCAGUCCACUCCCUUUCUCCCUUUCCUCCCAACCGAGCCCCCGCUCUGAUCUAUUCCGGGGGGUGUUGUGGCUAGGAGGGUGUGUGAGUGCGUUUGCAGCCCUGCCCAGUAAAAUACAGACUUUCCAAGGAAGUCGGCAAUAUAAUAUGGCCGCUUUAUUGUAAUUACAAGCUUCUCCUUUUGGAAAUAGCUCACCGAGAGAAAGCUGCCCACAGUUUUGAAUCGUCCUAAUCCCUGAAGUCUCUCUGGCUUGCGUUGACCCAGAUGUUUCACCACACCAGGCGGCUCUAUCAGCUGGAUGCGAGUCCCCCUCGACAUUACAACCUGUCAAGAUUCCGCCGCCGUCGCACUGGAUGAAGUGUGAGAAAGGAGUUUGGUGGGUGGCCACAUCUUAUGGAGCUUCCCUUCAGGGGAAUCUUGUGGUCUCUGGGUUCUUAUAACCCUGAAAUCACCGGCAAGCAAAUUAUAAGGCUUUAUUAAUCAAAUAUGUCUUGACUUUAAAGCGUAUUGGUGUAAUUGAAGGGUUCACAAUGACCUGUUGCACCCAUUUUCUCCUGGAAUAGACGAGUGGGAGCACCUGCCUUUUUGAUGUCAGGUUGUUCUACCCCGUCGUAACAUUUUAGCAGCCUCACCUCUCUGCGAAGUGGUCACUUGGUUCGUUCGAGACGAUGAAGUCAUGCUGCUUGCAAGGCAAUAUGUGCAAUUCCUGCCGUUUUGGAAUGUGUGGUACUUCCAUAAUGUGGAUGCUCAGCCGUUUGUGUGGAUUUUACCGUUGCUAAGGCAGGGUUGCUUAUGCUGCAUUUGGUUAAGGGUGUGAUCCUUAGAGACAAAACACAUUGGCUACUAAAACUGCACCAGACAAGAUGUGUAAUGAUAACUCUAAAGGUGCAUUGUGGCAGAUGUGAGCCAGAUUUCUUAUUUAAAACACGCAGAAAAAGACUAGCUAACAUCAGCACCCGAAUGUGAAGAGGUCAAUGUCUUGCUCAGAUAUUUACUGAAAUUAGCAUGCUAACCAGCUAGCCCCGGCCUGGGCUGUCUUGUUGUACCUGGUACCUCAACAGUUAUUCACCGUUUCAACAUCUCUGUCCUCAGUUCAUUAUAAAGAACCAAAUUAUUAUUUGAUUAAGUAGACAACUUUUCAUCGCGGUCGGCGCCUCCAGGAGACGGACCUUCAGUUAGCGAUAGUGGCACCAGAACGCUGGCUGAUCAAUUACGGAGUCGGGGCUGUUCCCUCCCGUUUUUUUACCCCGAGUAUUGAUUCCUGGCUGCGGCACGUUUUUGGGAAAGAGGGUGACACAUGUGCAGUAGAGGGUGGACACCCGACCCGAGCCCGUCGGUACCCGUCGGGACUGUAUUUAAAAUAUCUUAAUAAGUAGUGAAGUCAACAUCUGCUUCCCAUGAUGUAGAACCUCGGUUCCCAAACUGGGGUACGCAAAGUGGUUCAGGGGGUAUGCAGGGAGAAAAUGUCCGCGAUAACAGAAAACAGACGGAAUUCGCAGAAUGUACCGUUUGAAACAGAAAUUGCAACUUUCGGACGGAAACAUCAUUUUGUGCAUCAAAAUCGCCCAAAUUCCCCUGUAUUUGGUCCUGCAAGGCUUUAUUUCUUUCUUAUAAACUAGAGGGUGGAUACCCGACCCGAGCCCGUCGGAACCCGAAUAUAGUCUGGCUCGGGUCGGGUUCGGACAAAAUAGUUUAAAGGCUUUCUGACUCGGGCCGGGCUCGGACAGAAAAAGUCGGCCCGAUCCAUGCAGUGAGCCCAGGCGCUGAAGGCUUGCACCUGGCGCUAGAAAUAACGUGGUGGUGUUUGCUCACGACACUUUGACAUGUAGGAGCCGCAGAUCCAACUGCCAACCUUGUAGUUAAAGCACGAUCCGCUCUAUCCCCCGAGCCACACGCGCAUCAGUGUGCCUCUUUAUUAUUAUUUGGUUCCCACUUUGUUUUUAUGUUUUCUCCAGCAUGCCAUUCGUCUAAAUGCAGACGGAUUCACGUCAGCUACAAGGAAGCACAACACGUCAAGUAAAUGGAGGCAAGGCACAUAAUCACGUGAACAAUCACCUGUCCUAAACCGGCUUUAUGGGGGACGCAUCAUGCUUAUUUUCAAUGAUUGUAGGUGUCUGUGUACAUCUUUAUGUUGAUUGAGCACUACCACAGUAUACUUUUUAUGCAAUACCUAGACUGCUUAGUAAUCAAAAAGACAUUUAAAUCCCACAUUCUACAACAAGAUACCUUUAAGAUAGAGACACUCUAAAAAAAAUCUAAAAAUGAGGCAAGCAAGAUUCUUGAAAAGCAUCAACAACUCUUCGAGGUUUUUAUAUCGCAGCCUGCUUUAAUGAGGCCAUGGUUUGAUGAAUUGACAUACAAGAUAGAAUAAUUGUAAGGUAAAUGCAGCAAUAUGAACAAUAUUGUUGAAAAAUGUGGACAGAUAACAGAAAUACUGAAAAAAAUGAUUUUUAUUUGACAAAUAUCCAUAAAGUGAAGCUGAACACAGACACACACACACACACACACACACACAAAUCAAGCAUUCACAUAUUCACAAGCAUAACAUACUUCAUUCCAUGUGAUUACAGUCCCUGAGUAUGAAUUCAUGACUUUAAGUGGAUAAAAACUUUACAUGCCUACACAUGCAAAGUGGAGCACAAACACAUUCCACAGAUGUCUCUUGGGAUGUUCUUUUUACGACAUGUGGCAUCUACUUUCAGGGCACAAGGGAACAGAAGCAGACUGUUUGUGUCUAAAAACAAAUGUCUGUCCACUGCGCCCAAGCCAUAAUAAAGUCUGAGCUGCCCCAGCGAGGGAUCGCUUCCUGGUGAGAAUAACCGCAACGUACAGCGUGUACAAAGGAGGGGAGUAGCUUCCAUCCAGUAUUCACACAGUCUCUCUGUAAUCAAUCUUGUUUAAUUAAAUGUUUCAUAAUUUGCUAUGGUACUCUUUUUUUUUUUUUGGGAUUCCAUCAAAGGCAGCUUUUCAAAAAUGAUUUUCUAUAUUCUCCCUGUGGUUUCCAUAUAUUAUUUUCCUUGUGAUUCUUUAUGGAUAAUUGCGAGAUGCAGCAGCCAAAAGCUCCUUCUCAUUCCAAGUCCAUCCAAGCUCACCCUAUAGUUUCUAAUAUGAAGGCUCUACAAUUGUCUGUUUUGGGCAGGCUUGCAUGCACGGCACAUUACUGCCAAACAUACACAUGGCCGUCAGCAUGUCCCUUUUUUCUUUAUCUGAAAUUUAGUACACAGUAGAAAUGUAUUCCGAGGAUCCAGAUGGUGGAGGCGGGCAUCCUGUUCAUGGGUCAUCAGUAUAAACGCAUACACAACGUAGGAAAGUAAAGGUAUAGCCAGCACUGGCACCUGGAGAGGAGCCCACGGAGGCUUUUAGUGGGUACAGAACUUACUCUUAUAUUUCUUGAUACAAAUGGUGAAUGUAUAAUCACUCAUAUUCUAUUUGUAGUAUUGCUGUCAAACGAUUAAAAUAUUUAAUCACGAUUAAUCACAUUUAUGUCCUAGUUAACUCAAAAAAUCCCGAUUGCAGAUUUUUAUCUGUUUUAAAUGCCCGUUCAUUUUUUUUUUCCAUAAUCUUUUUUCAUUUUAAUGCUCUUAUCAACAUAGAAAAGUGGAUUGACUUUGCAUUCAUUUAUUUAUUUAUUAUAUUGAAUAACAUUGCCAAACAGGGCGGUACAAAAAGACAAAGUGCACAUUUGAGGUAAACAAGGACAUGGCCUAUAGUAUACCGUUAAACCAUGGCUUAAUAUUUCCUUCAUGUGUGGACCACCAUUCCUGGGGUCAUUCAUCCCAAAAUUAAAUAAAAAAGUUUAUCUCGUAAUACAAAAAAUCAUCGUUGUUAAAAUGGGUUUGUAUUAACGUUGUUAAUAACGCAUUUAACUGACAGCGCUAAUUUUUAGUUUAACAAGCGUUUGAAAACAGCAUAAAGGUGUGACUAAUGAAGGUGUUCUGUUACCUUUAUACCGGCUUUAAAAGAUCAUACCACCUUAAGGAACCCAUCUAAUGGACAUGGCUUCAAAUGAUUCCCACAAAACACAAUCUAACACAAAAUGAAUUCAAACAAAAUGAACCUUGACUAUCAUCCAAUUACAGAUCUGAAUCUGCUCUAUCAAACUGGCGGGAUCUAGUUGUGUAGUACUUUGUCUUCUUGUCUACAUUGUCUUCUUGUCUCUGUAUCUUGUGUAGCUGGUUGUAAUGUUAAACUGAUUAUUAUUGUGCUUGGACUGGUGAUUGUUUGAACUACCAGUCAUCCGCUGCCCCACUCAUCAGAGGUAAUGCUACAGGGACACACAGGUUCAGAUUUUAAUGGCCACUUGUGUGUGUGUGUGUGUGUGUGUGUGUGUGUGUGUGUGUGUGUGUGUGUGUUUAGUCUGCUGUCACAGGGAGCGUGGUAACGGCGUUGUGACGGUGUGUCUUCACCCAUUGGAAGUAAGUAACCCGAACGCAUUAUUGCAUUCAUCCUUUUUGGUCAUGAUGGCAAUGAUGCAUUUCAAAGAUAUUUCUUUGUGAUCUGAUCAGCAAACAAACGUCUGUAUGGAGCCAAAUCCAGGUCAAAAGUUUUGUUCAUUUGAAAAACAAAUGUGAACCUAAAAGUUUAGGUUUUGUAUUUGAACGUUGAAAAAUACAACGCUGUAUUCAAAAUAAAAAUAAGUGAAAAUAUAAAAUCUGCAACCGAAAAAUAUAAUACAAUCAUAAAAGAAAUGUGAAGAUUGAAAAAGAUUGAAAAAGAAAUAUAGAGCUGAGUCAAAACUAUAUUCGUCCUGAAAAUAUUUUUCGUUUCUUAAACUUUCCUCUUUGAUUGUGCCUAUAGUUAGGGCUGGCUCAGGUUAGCCCGGACCAGCCCUUAGUUAAGCUGCUAUAAGCUUAGAAUGCCGGGGGAAUUCUUAGGACACACCGAGCUCCUCUCUCACGCUCUCGUUCUACCAUAAUUCAAGUUUUAUUAAUGCACAUGACUAAUUCAGCUUCUUUCCGGGAGUUUUUUUUUUGUGCUUUCUCCCCUAUCAGGUCUCCGUAGAUCGUGGUUCCUUCGGGACCCUGGUCCUGACACCUGCUGUGGCCAUGCUGACGCCUGCUGCUGCCAUCAUCAUCAUCAUCAUCAUUAUUUUAGAUAUUAAUCAUAUUACUGUACUCGUAAACCAACAUUACCCUCUCCUUAAGUCUCUGUGCUCUCCCUCCCCACAGGCUUCUGUGGAUGGUGGUUCUAUGUGAUGGUGGUUCUAUGUGAUGGUGGUUCUAUCUGAUGGUGGUUGCCCCUGCAGUGGUCCUGCUGUGCGCCUGGCUUACUACUUACAAUUACUUGAAUCAUUUCUGUCAUAGGAGUUGCAUGUAUUAUACAUUGUUCAUUCUCUACACGUGGCAUCCAUUGUAGUCUGUCCAUCCCGGGAGUGGGAUCCCUCCUCUGACGUUCUCCCUAAGGUUUCUUCCCUUUUUCCCUCUUGGAAGGGUUUUUUCAUUUUUUGGGGAGUUUUUCCUGUGCCGAUGGUGGGUUUCGGGACAGAGGAUGUUGUAUGUGUACAGACUGUAAAGGCCUCUGAGACAAAUUUGUAAUUUGCGAUUAUGGGCUAUACAAAAUAAAAUGAAUUGAAUUGAAUUGAAAGCAUUCACAUCUAAUUUUGAAAUGUUUCAUUCAUAUUCAUUUAAGAAAUGGCAGCUCAAAUUCAUGAAACCUUUCUUUUCAACCUGUGUUAGUUUUUUAUUAUCAAUGAAAUAAUUAAUCAUUUCAAUGAAUGUAAUUAUUCAGAAACCUUAAGCAAGAACAUUCCUGCAUGUUAACCCACCACCUUCUGAACGCGCUGCUCUAUUAUAUCUAUUCUUCAUCAGAAUAUACUGAUUAGAUGUACAGUAAAGAUAACCGUUACCUUUGGCUCUUUUUUUUUCAUUCUGCCAAGCGUGUGGAAAAGAUGAUAGUGAGGAGUUAUCAAGGAAAUACCACAGAACUCAGACACGCCCCCCUCCUUUCCCCUCGCAGAAACAGACAGAAAUGGAAGCUUUGGGGUUGGGGGAGAAGAAGUGAGCGCUAUAGAGCAUCAAGGGAUAAUUAUGGUUAAUUGCUGCUUUGUGGAUGUGAAGUCUGCAUGCAAAGAAAGUGACUAACCUCGGGCUUUAGAAACCUUUACGAGGCACACGGGAGAGCUUUGAAAUACACAAAGUGCCAUUGAGUGUUUAUGACAGGUGGGGAUAUGAAAGCCACUUUGAGAUUAUGAAAGGAAUGUCUACUACUAGCUACUAGUUCAAUUUUACGUCCCUGUGGUUUGAUAUUGUCUCCGCAAAUACUUUGUAGAAUCAGUAACUCGGAGAGCUGAACUUUACUUUGCAAACACGGGUUGUUGGUAUCGUUGUGGACUUUAAGGUUUCUUCCUAAAGUGAGACAUGUUAGAAGUGUAAAAUGAAAGGUGAAAGUAAACACUUGUGUAACGCUCACAUGUCCAGAUGCUGUUGAGUACUGUCAGUUUUGAAAUGCUAGUUUGUGUUGUUGUCAAACUUCACAUCCCAAGAGAGCUGAUCUGACCAACUUCUAUCCAAACAGGGCUAAGAGGCGCUUCUGGCCAUCACAAUUUGGUUGCAAAAGUCCAAAGACGUUACUUAUCCCUAUUAGGAGUAAUUCUGAUAUUAGUUACGCUUCAUCUUCAUAGUGAUAAUGUGACACCAAAGAAUAAAAGCUGUAUUACACUAACCAGACAAACUUGUUCAUAGUUUAUGUUUAAUCUGAUACUUUACAGAAUGUUAUUAUGUGGUGCAGCUGUUGUCAUGUUCUCCACAGAUCCCUCAAAGAUGAAUCAAGCAUUCACUGGUUCAAAUGUUGCUUUUCUGGAGUAUUUCUUCUGAUUACCACCACGUUGGAUUGUAGGUCCCUCAAGGGACACCAGCAGCUUGUCAAUCAUCUAGACUUUCACACCUGCAGUCGGUCUGCGUUCUGCUUUUGGAGACGGCUGCAGAGGUGCACCUUUUGAUAAUUUGCCGUCAUCAUAUUUCAUGUGCUAAAAAGGUCAAAAGAUUGGUUGACAAGUUUUGAAAUUGUUACCAUUGGAAACAUGGCAACCUUUCUUGUUAAAUCUUGACGUAGUGAGAUAUAUAUCUUAUUCCUCUGUGCCAUAAGGGACGAGCGUGGCGCCUGGAGGAGGGUGUGCCGGUAACCUCAGGGUUUGACGGCUCGAACCCCGGCUGCUCCAUACAACUAGAUGUAAAAUAU
ensembl:lncRNA